ACUGUUUCAAGAUUAUUAUAUGUACUGACUGACCUUAAGGGUUCUGUGAAUUAACACUUUGAAAAUGGAAACCAGCAGGAACACUGCACUGAGGAUAUAAAACAUUGUUUUUAGUUACUUUAAUAUUUAACGAAGAGCUCUUCUAUGCUUUCCAAGCCAGCAGACCAUUUGUCAUGAUUGGCUUGUUUAUGCAGUGUUCUCAGUGCACAAAACUGGAUUCAUUUACAGCAAAACUCAAGCAAGAAAUAGCUCUUGGAAUGCCUCUAGCUGCAGUCAUCCUGUUUAUUGGGUAUUCAACUGGACCAGACCAGGGUCUGGGCUGGAAUAGAAAAGGUGUUUUUUUAUUUCUAGGCUGAAAUAAAAACUUCAGAGGUGUCAAGGUCUCAGCACCAACCAUAUUGCUCUCCAGCUCUGCCCCUACUGCAGACAUAGAAUGCAGAUAUAAUGAAGACAUAGCCUAAGUCUUGACCGGCUGGAGGCCUGAAAAAGCCCAUGAACUUAUAGAUGUGGUCGCAGCUGCCGAAGCCACCACAGUACUGCUGUGGAAGAGAUUAGAAAGCCUGACCCCUGGGAGCCUCUUGUGUGCUGCUCCUCUUCCCACUCGAGCAGGUAAAGUAGCUCCAACCACCAACACAGGAGCCUGCUGUGCCACCCCGAAGGAGAAAACAAGCCAGCCGGUAUCGAGGUCCAAAUAAGCUGAAGUGGCAGAUGGCUACAAACACCCUACGAACAGCUUGUUGCACCUGCACAGAAACCUAGAGAGAAACUACAACCCUUACACAAGAGCUCCAAGGCCCAACUCUGGCUGUGAGGAUGCAGCAGCCAGUGCUGCCUUCAUAGAACCAUAAAACCAUGGAAUAUCCUGAGUUGGAAGGGACCGAUAUGGAUCAUUGAAGUCCAACUCCUGGCCUGCACAGGACAGCCCAAGAAUCCCAACAUGUGCCUGAGAGCAUUGUCCAAACAGAGUUCAAGAAGGAACUCUGUCAGGUUUGACUGCUUCCCUGGGGAGCCUGUUCCAGUGCCCAACCACCCUCUGUGCAAAGAACCUCUUCCAAAUAUCCAGCAUAACCCUUCCCUGCCUUCAUGCCCUCGCCAUCCCUCACACUCAUAAUAAAAAAAAAUUAAAAUUAAUAGAAGAAAAGGCCUCAGAGCCACGAGUCCCUCCCUGCUCCUCAGGACUGGGGGUUCACACUCACUCUGUCCCCACUUCACUCACACAGGGGGCAGGGACGGACGGACAGACCCUCAGUGCCUGUGAGGCUGUACCAGCAACCGCGCCAGCUCCCAGGGGUGGCCAUGGUGUGGGAUCCAUCACAGUCCCCACCGCCUCUGAGGUCCCCCCGAUGGUCACCAGCACCCUGUGUGACCCAGCCUCGAAACUUCCCUCUCCCCUUUUCACCCCCCACCCGGGUUUGCCAGCCCCAAAACUGCCCCACACCUCAGAGCCCAGCACAAGGCGGGCGAGGCCUGAGGGCUGUGGAGCCGAGACGGGGAUGCCGGGCCCGGGGAGGCAGCUUUGUGCUGCUGGAGUGUUUGCAGAGCAGCAAAAUCACCAGAGUCAUCUGCAUCUUGUUGGAUUCCUGCCAGAGAAGAGUGGUUGGAUCAGAACAACUUGAAGAAUAGAAACUGUCUCACCAUGCUGACCCUGGGACUUGGCAAGCUGGGAGCUCCCUGAAGAGUCUUCUGCAUCACUGAGCCCAGCCUUGCCCCUCCAGAAAAUCUCCCAUGAGCAGCAAGCUGAAGGUGAAGUCUCUGUGAGUGUCAGGGGUGGGGGGGAUUGUCUCCUACAGCUUCAGCAGCGGUGGGGUGCAAGAGGCAGACAAAGGCAAUGCUAUUAUUAAUGCUUUAUUAGGUACAAACAACACAUUUUAAUCUGCCAGAAAUCAAGCCUGAUUGAGUCAUAACUGUUGUGAGCUUGGAUGCUUGAAUUGUUCCUAAUGUCUGAACAAACCUUUUCUUCCUGCUUCUGCCAAUCUGAUUUGCAAUCCAAAGGAGUUUGUAGCGUUAAUGUAAGUACAUUGAAUAGGCUUUGACUAAUUCAGUCUCAGUUGAAAAUGAGUGUAUGUAAUGGGAUAUUUCUGAGAAGAAGCCUCUUGUAUUGUGCUCUUCUGAGUACAAGGUUUGUUUGAACGCUGCCAUAUCCCUACUGGACAUCAUAGCCAUGUCUUUGAAACACUGACCUAAUAAAAUCCAGUGCUGGGGGUAGGGAGCCAGUUAAAUGUAAAAUGAUCAUAGCCUCUCUACCCAACAGGGUAUCCCCCCAAACAGGGAUCAGACUUUCAACUUCAGUUUUUGCACAGUGGGAAAGAACCAGCAAUUAAAGCUCCUUAAAUCCUUGUAGUUGUCAAGCGCUGAAAUUAUAUGACAGCAAUAUAGGUUUUCUACAGUGGAGAUGGGACAGAAACAGGUUAUCACAUUAAUUAUAUUUUUCUUUUGAAAAAAGGACUGACUUUAUUGAGUAUUACAGGCAAGACCACUGCAUUCCUGACUGGCUGUAUGAUCUCAGACAAGUCAUUUAUUUCCUUCUGUUCCUUUUACAUGCUCUUUUUGUUUUUCCUACUUAGACUGAAAACACUUCAGGACAAAAGCUCUCUCUCCCUCUGCCUUAUGUAAUGCCAGGCCUAACAAAGCUCUGCUUUGCUUUGAGGCUUUAGAGAGUGAUGAAAUAUAAAUACUUUCAAAGACAAUAAGUGACACUGGCUUUGAAUGGGAAGUCAUAGCAUGGCCUGAGAAGGGGCAAUUUUUACUGUUCUUUCCUAUCUGCUGAUCAGUAUUCUCUUGGAAAAAAGAAGACUGGAAAUUUUUGCAAACAUUAUAGAUGCUUACACUGUUGUGGCGGACUCUGAAAGAACUGGAUUAUGAGUGGUUAAAUUGCAUUUGGCUGAAAAUCAAAUUAGCUUUAUUGAUACCUGUAUGCCUCAAUAGCACCUAAAGCCCAGGAGAGGUUUAGUAAAAAUUAAAAAAACUCCUUUUCCUAAGUAGACACUCAUGAUUAGUUGCAAAAUUUCACCAUCAAGUGUCUUGAGGGAGACGAGCUUGACAGUGUGGUAAUAUUCAGGCUGUAAAACAAACAAAUGAAAAUAGGCUUUGAAGAAUUAUGAAGAUUUUGCAUACCUUCUUUCAUUUUUUUUAAAAUUAUUUUUUAUCACCUGAGACUCCUGUCAGCAUAAAGGGCCAGGCAACAUACAAACCCUGCCACAAAAAGGCUGUUGUUCCUCCAAAGAGCAGUUGGUCUUGGGGCACAGUGAGAGGGGCUAAAUUAAGUUGCUUAAGAGAUGCUUGGUCUAACUACAUUUUAUAACCUUUUUUUCUCCAGAAGUUCUUGUCAUGUCAGUUCUACCAGUUGAUCUACUUCAUUAAUUUUUUUUUUUCCAACUUGGCUCUUUUACACAGUCAGACUGCAUUCUGUAAUAAUUAGAUAGAUGAAGAGCUGAGAUAGGUGGAACUCUGACAGAGACAUAGGAUUAAGUGUCCGGAGAGUAAAAACCUCUCAACCAUGAUCAGCAGCAGAAGACACAGCAAGUGAACUUGCACUGAUUAGAUUAAGUCAGCCCUGAUGGCACAGGCAUGGAAAAUAAGUGCAGUAAGAAACUUCUUCUGGCUGAUUUGGUGCCAGGCUGUGAUGAGGAGCACCUGGAAAGACAGUCACUGUUGCAGUUACUCUGGCCUUUAAUUUUUUUUUGUUUUAAAAGCUAAAGAAAGUCCCAAUAAAAUUAUUUUAACAAAUAGACUGACUGAUGUAAUCAUAGAAGGGCACAUUUAAGUAUUGCAGUAGUAUAUACAGUUUGCUUCACCCCACUUCUCCUUUACAAGGAGCUUUUAACAGAGGUGGUAUCACUAAUUAUUCCACAAACGAAACACAGAAGUUGUGGUCUGUGUGUUUGCCCUCAGAAGAUUUGUGACUGUCUUUCAGAACCAAAGAAAAUAUUUCUCUCAUGGUAGUGGUCCAGGUUUAGAUAGUCUGUUGAUAUCAUCAAGGUGGAUGAUUCUAAUUCACCUUCUAGUUCACUAAAACGCAUUCCCAGUAACGGCAAUUUUUUGAGAAAAAGCACGAGGUCACUAGACCUCCUCAUCCUCCAGGCCAGCUCAUCAUUCACGUGCCUACAGUGCAUAUAAGUGCAGGUAAUAUCUCAUAAAUCCAGUAAUCAGGUGCAUCUUUAUAGGCUCCUGGAUACCUGUUAGGUGACUGGGGAAUUCUGAACCUGCUCAGUGUUAAGUGCAGUUAAUGCUUUCAUACUUGGCAAUGCAACUUCACCAGGAGUAGCUCAGAGGAAAUGGCGUGGACAGCAGCAGUCCUGAGAUCUUGUCCUUCUUUAGCAUGUGGGAAUGUCACUUGAAAUUCACACCUGUGUGUCCUUGCAGUCAUCUAACUAUUUUUUUCUUUCUUUAUUAACAUGUCAGUGUAACUGAAGUUCUUAUGAACCAUGAGAAAAGAUGGAGGCUUGCUGGUGUGAAAUGAAAGUGUGCAACACAGGCCUACAAGGGCACUUGCUCUUUGGAUUUUGGUGCUGUUCAGGCAGACACUAUUUCAGUGACCUGCUCUGCUUUGCCAGGACAGGCAGUUCUGAGUCUGUGCAAAGGCAGCUUUAGGCAACUUAGUGAGCCAGAUAGUUCAGACAGCUUCAAGGUUAUGGAGCAGCUGAGUAGGAGUUUUCAGGAACAGUUUUGGACUUUAAUUUUUAAUUGCAUCCUUUUUUAUUUUUUUAGUUUGGCCCUACAGUGAAAUUUGAUUAAGGCAGUAGUAAAGGUUUUCCACACCAACAAUUUCACCUUCAAAGGCAUUUGCAGCUGUGACCUCGGACAUUGUCCCUGUUUCAUGUAUUUCUCCUCUGCUGACAGAAGGAGGAAUUCAUGUUUGCUGUUCAUAAAUAGGAUCAUGCCAGGGAACAUCCUGACUCUGUGUGCAAUCUCUCUGCCUGCAGUCUGUCUGCUUGAUUUGCCAGCCCUGAAUUUUCAGCUACCCACUGGAUUUGAAAAGGGGCAGAUAUUAGAUUUUAUUCUGAAAUGAACUCUUUCUUCCAAGGGCCAUGAAUGGAAACGAAGGGCUAAUCCCCUUGCUGUGGUGCUUAGCCCUGAAUUAUGUGGCAGGCACUCUGAGCAAUGCUAUGAUAUUCUUAGAAAUCAUUUUGAUGAGGUGUCGUUACAUCAGCUGGAAGCAAACGCAGAUGAAAAGCUCAACAGAUAACAAACCAGAGGAAUUCCCUUCAGUCUGAGGUUCAUGUCCUCAUUCAGGAGUUGAAUUUGGAAUCUGCUUGUCCUGGGUGUCAUGAGAGUAUGUUCUGAAAGCACACACACAGCUGUCCAGAAAAUCUGAAAGGACUGCCAGCCAGCUCAUUUGUCUUUACCGGCUACAUCAGGCUUUGAUGUGCUGCACAUGCACCCAUAUGAUCUUUGUCCAGGUGAACAAAUGUCUAGUUUAAUGUUUAGCAGUAGGUCCUUCAUAGCCUUUCAGUCAAGGGCUUCAGUUACAUAUUAAUGGCACAGGUCUUUGUGCAGGUUCAUCAGCAGAAACACUGGUACAUACUGGGGUCGGGAAUGUUUCGGCUCACCAUGUCAGAUAUAGCUGCUGGCCCCAGUUUGGCAAUUACUUCAGUGUGCAUGUAAUUUUAAGCACAUAAGUUAUUCCAGUCAGUCAGGCUUGUGUUUAGAAGUGCAUUGCUGACUGGGGAAUUUCUGGCUCCUAUAGCUGUUCGGAUGUUGGCUCCCAGGAGUCUUCCUCCAAAUUUAACCUUUCUGCUUUACUCUCUUGUGGUAGAAAAGUGGUAGCCUGCUUUGCUCUGUCAGCACAGACAGCAAAUCUGCUUUAACUACCAUCCUGAGAAGGUCUAUCAUUUAUGCAUUGGACAGAUAACUUGAUGGGAAUAAACACGCGAUGGUUUACUCUGAGAGGCCAAGUAAUAUGCAUUCCUACAGCUGGGACUUGUUAGCUUGGUUGCAUAAAAGCUCAACCUACCCAACUGGCAAAAAUUUUACACAAACUUUUACAUAGUUGGGUGCUUGUUCCACGAAGUUCAGAAGUUUUGCAGAGCCU